rnacentral:rRNA from 4 species
GACCUCGGAUCAGGUAGGAAUACCCGCUGAACUUAAGCAUAUCAAU